UACGUAGGGUGCAAGCGUUAAUCGGAAUUACUGGGCGUAAAGCGUGCGCAGGCGGUUAUGUAAGACAGAUGUGAAAUGCCCGGGCUUAACCUGGGAACUGCAUUUGAAACUGCCUUGCUCGAGUACUGGAGAGGAGACUGGAAUUUACGGUGUAGCAGUGAAAUGCGUAGAUAUCGUAAGGAAGACCAGUGGCGAAGGCGAGUCUCUGGACAGUUACUGACACUGAGGCACGAAGGCCAGGGGAGCAAACGGG
rnacentral:rRNA from 1 species